rnacentral:rRNA from 1 species
GAUGAACGCUGGCGGCGUGCCUAAUACAUGCAAGUCGAGCGAACAGACGAGGAGCUUGCUCCUCUGACGUUAGCGGCGGACGGGUGAGUAACACGUGGAUAACCUACCUAUAAGACUGGGAUAACUUCGGGAAACCGGAGCUAAUACCGGAUAAUAUAUUGAACCGCAUGGUUCAAUAGUGAAAGACGGUUUUGCUGUCACUUAUAGAUGGAUCCGCGCCGCAUUAGCUAGUUGGUAAGGUAACGGCUUACCAAGGCAACGAUGCGUAGCCGACCUGAGAGGGUGAUCGGCCACACUGGAACUGAGACACGGUCCAGACUCCUACGGGAGGCAGCAGUAGGGAAUCUUCCGCAAUGGACGAAAGCCUGACGGAGCAACGCCGCGUGAGUGAUGAAGGUCUUCGGAUCGUAAAGCGCUGUUAUUAGGGAAGAACAAAUGUGUAAGUAACUAUGCACGUCUUGACGGUACCUAAUCAGAAAGCCACGGCUAACUACGUG